CAGAGGCGAGUUUGCAAUGGCUCUCCACUUUAUGUUGCUCUAGCGCUUAUAAACGUACACGCACACGCACACUAGCUGGCAUUUGUGUGCAAGCAGCCCCCUCCCCCUUCCCCCGCUACGUCUGAGUGUGGGUGCGCAAGUGCAGCAGUGAAGAGUGUAUCGGGAGGCAGCACCAUCACUGGGGCAUUGCAGCAGGACAGCACCGCGAGGCACCUGUGCGCGCACGUUUUCGUUUUCAUCGACAAGGAAGAAGGCACGAACCACAACAGCCAAAGGCACAGAGAGGGAGGGUGCGUUUUAGACAACACACGAUGAAAUCCGGAAUAGCACCUCCGACGCUGUCCUUCAAGCGCAAGGCCAUCACCGAAACUGCCUCCGCCGCGCAUGGGUGCCUUCUCGUCUACCCGGUGAGCAAGAAGUCGAAGCAGCGCGUUGCCGUGGGAGACAGCACGGGCCUCUUCAAGGUCUUCUCUGUUGGCAAGCGGCUGGAGCCGGUGGUUGCCUUCGAGACGCCGGAGACCGUUGCGCAGACGGGCGAGAGCGGCGCGGAAAAGGAGAAGAAGGCCAUCACUGCUGCCACGCUCUUCUCGGACCAACUCUUCUACAUCCAGGGCAGCGUCCUGCACGCGUACUCGCGCAAGGGUAAGCCCUUCUUUACCGUGGACACCAAUGUCACAGAGAGGGUGCACUCGCUGGCCAUCGAAACGCCCUUCAUAUUCUUAGCGGGCGACUUCAUGGUCACCACGAUGAGUGAGAGAAAGGAGCUCGGGUUCUUCUUGGCUCCCGAUCGCGUGAACGACAUGUGCGUGUACAUAGUCCCCAGCGCCGUGAUGCGCGACGGCGAGCGUCAGCUGGGCGACUACGUGAGCUGCCUGGCAUGCAACGAUCGCGUGCUGCGGUUGGUGCAGGCGAACAAACUCGUGGAGGAGGUCAGCUGCGAGGCUGCCCUCACCACCGUGGUCUACCACAGUGUUCAGCGGCUGCUGUUCUACGGAACGCAGUCGGGCUCCAUCGGCGUCAUGGCCGUGGCGGACAACGGAAGCGUGCACAAGGUAGGCGCCCACAUGCCGGACGGCCCCCGGGGCACCAUCACCAGCCUCGGUUUUGCGGAUGUGAAUGCGGAUGGGCAGGAUGAACUCCUUGUCGGGUACGACGACGGCACCGUGUGCGUCAUGGUCGUGCACCUGAGCCGUUCUAUGAGCAUCACCGGCAUAGACGCCGUGCAGCUAACCCUGGUGUGGGCAGGAAGUGUCGAGGAGCGGGUGAUGAGCGUCGCUGGCGGCAUCAUCACACAUACAGCAGCGCAGCCAGACGUCCUCGUGCACACGUUCAGUGGGCAGGUGGUCGCUUUUACUUUGGAUACUGAUGAACCCAGGGGGGAUACCCAGGCAGCCGCGGCCGAGGCGGCGGCGAAGCAGGCAGCGCUCAUCGCAAAGCAGCAGGAUACGCAGGGCGAGAUCGCGCAGCUGCGGGCACUCGUCGCGCAGCGCACCAGAGAGCUGAGUGAAGUCCCAGUGCUGCGGAAGGCGGAGGAGGCGCCGGUGCUGACGGUGAGCGCCGGCUUUAAAAUGUCCGUCACCCUCACACCAGUGGAAGCGAUGCCGAUGCUAUCGCUGGUAGUGUCCGCCGAUGCCUCGCUGGAAGGCAUGCUGAUCCAGUGCAACGCAGCGCUGACCUUUGUGUCCACUGACAACACCGCGGUGAAGACGCGGGUGGUGGGCGGCGGGGCCGCGUCGACGUCUCCGUCCACGCAGAGCGCCACCGCGGCGGUAGGGUCGUCUACCACAAUCGCCACUGUCACACCUGUGCAGAGAGGCAGCAAGCGCCUGGAGGUGCACAUGUGGGGGGACGAAGGCGUGGCCGACACCCUCCGCGCCACCGUCUACAGCGCGCAGGCUCCACGAACAGCUCAGGUCAAGUACGUUCCUCUCUGCGCUCUUCCCUUGUACGAGCGCGUGCCGAGUGUAGAUAAGUCGGUGCUGUCAGGCGACGUGGUGCAGUCUAUGUCGCGCUUGAUCGUGCUGGGGACCUUCCAGGUGCAAGAUGCUCGAAUGUGGCUGGGGCAGCUUGUGCCCGGCAUCGUGGACGCUCUGCACCUCGCAGAGGAGCAGCAGCGCUUCGUCUUCACAAGCCGUUUCUCGGGCUCGGUGCUGACGGUCGACAUCGAGGACGACCAGGACGGCGACAAGGGCAGCCGUGCCAUCUUCGCCUGCAACUCUCUCGUCACACUUGCCACCGUCAAGCGGCACAUUGUGCAGGUGUGCGCGGAGCGCGGCCUCAACAUCAGCACCCGGGAGCACAUUCUCUGCCAAACAGUUCUCCACCAACUACAGCAGCUGUACCCACUCAUGUCGAGCAUGUCGAGCAGCCAACGGCGCUGGCAGCUGCUGCAGGGACUUCGUGAGCUGCAGGGGUCCGAGACCAAUCUGGACUUCCUUCCUAACCUCUUCCAGGAGGUGCUGGCGUCGGCGGAGGAGGUGCAGGCGGAGGCGGAAGCGGAGGCACAGCAGGAGGGCUACCUGAAGCGGGCCGUCGCCGCCCUGUACCGCAGCUUUGUUUACUUCAAGGGCCACGCUCCUCUCUUCAGUGAGGCCAUUCGCGUGCAACUUGAGGCAGCAUCGUGCGGCUUGAGCUUCGACCCCGCCGCGCUCGAGAAGAUUAUGUACCCAGGUGACACGACGCUGCAGGAGGCGGCAGCUGUAGAGGUGGCUGCCAUGUCCACAACCGCACUUGCCUCCAUGAAGCCGGCGGCGUAUGUGCCGCUGACUGCCCCGACGAUCGCUCACGUCGCCGGAGACGCUGACGCUGAAUGUCCGGCGCUCGCCGACUCCUCGGAGGCCCCGAGCCACAUCGCAUCUUCGGCCUCUCUGAGUGACUGAGAGCUCUCUGGACAUCACUGCAGGGGAUCUGCACCCAGCGUGCUUGCCUUUCUACGCCCGCCACCAACGAGUGGACGCGAUCCCCAACCCCUACCCUCCGCUCUCUAAUUGGAUGGCUGGAGUAAGAGUCGGUGAAGGUGAGCGCAGUGACGCCGCAGGGCCCUGCACGCUUCGCGUGUGGGUAGGCGUGCAUCCGCGUGUGAUCAUACAUCUCUCUUCCUUUCUCUGAUUCCCGUGUUGUUCUGCCCGCGCAUCUGUUCCUUGCCUGCUCUCUGUCUGUCUGUGUGCGUGUGCCUCUUGUCGUCGCCCUCAUCUCACCUCACCUCACCUCACCUCCCUUCACUCCUUUUACUCGUCCCCACCAGCGAACACAUCGCAGAAGUGCGGGCAAGUGUGUCGGACCCGCAUCACCCGGAAUGUGCGCCCGCGCUCUCUCUCGUGCGCAUCG
rnacentral:misc_RNA from 1 species